rnacentral:rRNA from 1 species
CAUGCAAGUCGAGGGGCAGCAUCAUUAAAGCCUGCUUUGAUGGAUGGCGACCGGCGCACGGGUGAGUAACACGUAUCCAACCUGCCGACAACACUGGGAUAGCCUUUCGAAAGAAAGAUUAAUACCGGAUGGCAUAGUCUUCCCGCAUGGGAUGACUAUUAAAGAAUUUCGGUUGUCGAUGGGGAUGCGUUCCAUUAGGCAGUUGGCGGGGUAACGGCCCACCAAACCAACGAUGGAUAGGGGUUCUGAGAGGAAGGUCCCCCACAUUGGAACUGAGACACGGUCCAAACUCCUACGGGAGGCAGCAGUGAGGAAUAUUGGUCAAUGGACGAGAGUCUGAACCAGCCAAGUAGCGUGAAGGAUGACUGCCCUAUGGGUUGUAAACUUCUUUUAUACGGGAAUAAAGUGAGCCACGUGUGGCUUUUUGUAUGUACCGUAUGAAUAAGGAUCGGCUAACUCCGUGCCAGCAGCCGCGGUAAUACGGAGGAUCCGAGCGUUAUCCGGAUUUAUUGGGUUUAAAGGGAGCGUAGGCGGGUUGUUAAGUCAGUUGUGAAAGUUUGCGGCUCAACCGUAAAAUUGCAGUUGAUACUGGCGACCUUGAGUGCAACAGAGGUAGGCGGAAUUCGUGGUGUAGCGGUGAAAUGCUUAGAUAUCACGAAGAACUCCGAUUGCGAAGGCAGCUUACUGGAUUGUAACUGACGCUGAUGCUCGAAAGUGUGGGUAUCAAACAGGAUUAGAUACCCUGGUAGUCCACACAGUAAACGAUGGAUACUCGCUGUUGGCGAUAUACGGUCAGCGGCCAAGCGAAAGCAUUAAGUAUUCCACCUGGGGAGUACGCCGGCAACGGUGAAACUCAAAGGAAUUGACGGGG